rnacentral:pre_miRNA from 1 species
UAUGACACAUAAGCGUAGUUGGACCAUCCAAGAACAUAGGAUCCAACCAUGAUAUGUGGAAUAGU